CUUUCUAACUCUCUCCUUGAAGUGGCUUGAAGUGGAAAGUCUUUUCUGUAUAUCUUCUUUAUUAUCAAGAAAACAAACCUUUGGGUGGAAACUUAUGAUGAAGGAAAUUCUUUCUUCUAUGAUCCUUCUCUACGGACCGUUUGCUGAUGGACUUCCCUGGGCCUGCUACCUGAGACCUGCUGCUUCCUUCCAGACUUACUCGGCGGCUUCUUCCUGGACCCACCUGGUACCUGCACUCUCUUGUUGCCCAAGACCAGCCUCGCUGCUCCUGCCCUUCGGCCUCGGACCGUCGGAACGUCGUGCAACGGGACUGCUGCUGGAUCCUGGUGGUGACUAUCCCCG
ensembl:lncRNA